rnacentral:rRNA from 1 species
UACAGAGGUCUCAAGCGUUGUUCGGAUUCAUUGGGCGUAAAGGGUGCGUAGGCGGCGCGGUAAGUCGGGUGUGAAAUCUCGGAGCUUAACUCCGAAACUGCAUUCGAUACUGCCGUGCUUGAGGACUGGAGAGGAGACUGGAAUUUCAUGGUGUAGCGGUGAAAUGCGUAGAUAUCGUAAGGAAGACCAGUGGCGAAGGCGGGUCUCUGGACAGUUCCUGACGCUGAGGCACGAAGGUCAGGGGAGCAAACGGG